rnacentral:rRNA from 1 species
AUGAACGCUGGCGGUCCGCUUAACACAUGCAAGUCGAACGGGAGUAGCAAUACUCCAGUGGCGGACGGGUGAGUAACGCGUGAGAAUCUGCCUUUUGGUCGGGGACAACCACUGGAAACGGUGGCCAAUACCGGAUGUGCCUGUGGGUAAAAGAUUAAUUGCCAGAAGAGGAGCUCGCGUCUGAUUAGCUAGUUGGUAGGGUAAAAGCCUACCAAGGCAUCGAUCAGUAGCUGGUCUGAGAGGACGAUCAGCCACACUGGGACUUGAGACACGGCCCAGACUCCUACGGGAGGCAGCAGUGGGGAAUUUUCCGCAAUGGGCGAAAGCCUGACGGAGCAAGACCGCGUGAGGGAAGAAGGCUCUUGGGUCGUAAACCUCUUUUGUUAGGGAGGAACACAAUGACGGUACCUAACGAAUCAGCCUCGGCUAACUCCGUGCCAGCAGCCGCGGUAAUACGGAGGAGGCAAGCGUUAUCCGGAAUUAUUGGGCGUAAAGCGUCCGCAGGUGGCGAUUCAAGUCUGCGGUCAAAGACUGGGGCUUAACCCUGGAAAGGCCGUGGAAACUGAAAAGCUAGAGUGCAGUAGGGGUAGAGGGAAUUCCCGGUGUAGCGGUGAAAUGCGUAGAGCUCGGGAAGAACAUCGGUGGCGAAAGCGCUCUGCUGGACUGCAACUGACACUCAGGGACGAAAGCUAGGGGAGCGAAUGGGAUUAGAUACCCCAGUAGUCCUAGCCGUAAACGAUGGAUACUAGGUGUGGCUUGUAUCGACCCGAGCCGUGCCGUAGCUAACGCGUUAAGUAUCCCGCCUGGGGAGUACGCACGCAAGUGUGAAACUCAAAGGAAUUGACGGGGGCCCGCACAAGCGGUGGAGUAUGUGGUUUAAUUCGAUGCAACGCGAAGAACCUUACCAGGGCUUGACAUGUCGCGAAUCUUGGGGAAUCCUAAGAGUGCCUUCGGGAGCGCGAACACAGGUGGUGCAUGGCUGUCGUCAGCUCGUGUCGUGAGAUGUUGGGUUAAGUCCCGCAACGAGCGCAACCCUCGUCUUUAGUUGCCAGCAUUAAGUUGGGCACUCUAGAGAGACUGCCGGUGACAAACCGGAGGAAGGUGGGGAUGACGUCAAGUCAGCAUGCCCCUUACGUCCUGGGCUACACACGUACUACAAUGCGACGGACAAAGGGCAGCAAGCCAGCGAUGGCAAGCCAAUCCCAUAAACCGUGGCUCAGUUCAGAUCGCAGGCUGCAACUCGCCUGCGUGAAGGAGGAAUCGCUAGUAAUUGCAGGUCAGCAUACUGCAGUGAAUUCGUUCCCGGGCCUUGUACACACCGCCCGUCACACCAUGGAAGUUGGCCACGCCCGAAGUCGUUACCCUAACCGCUUAGCGGAGGGGGACGCCGAAGGCAGGGCUGAUGACUGGGGUG